rnacentral:rRNA from 1 species
CCUACGGGAGGCAGCAGUGGGGAAUUUUGGACAAUGGGCGAAAGCCUGAUCCAGCAAUGCCGCGUGAGUGAAGAAGGCCUUCGGGUUGUAAAGCUCUUUUGUCAGGGAAGAAACGGUGAGGGCUAAUAUCCCUUGCUAAUGACGGUACCUGAAGAAUAAGCACCGGCUAACUACGUGCCAGCAGCCGCGGUAAUACGUAGGGUGCAAGCGUUAAUCGGAAUUACUGGGCGUAAAGCGUGCGCAGGCGGUUUUGUAAGUCUGUCGUGAAAUCCCCGGGCUCAACCUGGGAAUUGCGAUGGAGACUGCAAGGCUAGAAUCUGGCAGAGGGGGGUAGAAUUCCACGUGUAGCAGUGAAAUGCGUAGAGAUGUGGAGGAACACCGAUGGCGAAGGCAGCCCCCUGGGUCAAGAUUGACGCUCAUGCACGAAAGCGUGGGGAGCAAACAGGAUUAGAUACCCUGGUAGUCCACGCCCUAAACGAUGUCUACUAGUUGUCGGGUUUUAAUUAACUUGGUAACGCAGCUAACGCGUGAAGUAGACCGCCUGGGGAGUACGGUCGCAAGNUUAAAACUUAAAUGAAUUGACGG